UAACCAUGAUGCGGGCAUUGAAGUAAAAGCAAUUUAUAACGUUCCCACGCCUCAUGGAAUGGUUCACCAUCAACUUGUGUGAAUGUGGAGAUUUGACGUCUGAAUGC